UUUGCGUGUUUGAUAAAUGUGGUUUGUUUACGUAAUUCUGUUUCAGGAGUUUUUCUCGAGGGUCGAGGGCGGGAAGCGAGGGUCGAAAAAUCAUAAUAUAUAAAACGUCGAGGGUCAUAUAAAAAAGUCGAGGGUCAUCAGUAAAAUGUCCGGGGUCGUAUUUCUAAAAUACUUUUUUGUGGUUUUUAUUGUCGAGGGUAGAAAUUUGCG